rnacentral:lncRNA from 1 species
GUGAGCCUUUCUGGGGUGGUUACAAUGUUGUUUUAGGUACUUGUAACACGUGUUACUUUUGCUUUUUCAAAGAUGGUUACUACUGCGAAACCUGCUAAAGUAAUCGCUCUUAAUGCAUCUACGUCUACGACUGACAGAGGUAUAGAUACGGCAGUUGGUUUAGAAAAAUCAAGUGUUUCAAGAAUGUUAACCACUUUUCAAUAUUUCGGAUCAUCGUAUCCAAAAAGAAAAGGAAAAUGUGAGCGCAAAUGAAAAAUAACUUGAACAACAUAAAAUUCUAAUAAUAGGAAACUAAAUCCGAACACAGACCUUCAAAGUGAUUUAUUGGAUUAUGAUGUUGACGUGAGUACCUCAAUUGUACGGAAAUGACUUCUGAAAGUUGGCCGAAAGAAGAAAGGCGAAGAAAAAACAAUUUCUAACACAGAAAAUGAUGAAAAAAAGCUCAGCGUGGACCAAAAAAUACCGAUAUGGACUGUUGACGACUGAAAAAAAGUGAUUUUCAGUGAUGAAUUACAUUUAUUUGUGAGGGAUAUACGGAUUUAAAUCAAAGUGAAGGUGGACCUCUGCGAAGAGAUCAUAUCCAACAGACUACAAAAUAAUCUUCUAAACAGUUUUUUUGGGUUUUUUUUAACAAAUGACACUGAAAGUUUAGUUCCUUAAAGGCAUGAUGAAUUCUGCUAAAUAUAUUGAAAUAUUACGCAGAACAAUUGUUUCAUUCAUGGAAAUUUUCGACAGAACAUUUAAACGUAACUUGGCUUCUUGUUGCAAUUCGAAAUUGGUCCAGACUUUGAUGCGGGAAAUAAAAGUAAAAGUGCUUGGUUGGCCUCGUAAUUCACCAGACCUAAAUCCCAUUGAGAACUUCUGGCAUAUUCUCAAGAAACCUAGUUAAGAUGAA